GACGAACGCUGGCGGCGUGCUUAACACAUGCAAGUCGUACGGUAAGGCCCUUUCGGGGGUACACGAGUGGCGAACGGGUGAGUAACACGUGAGUAACCUGCCCACAACUUUGGGAUAACGCUAGGAAACUGGUGCUAAUACUGGAUAUGUGCCCCUGCUGCAUGGUGGGGGUUGGAAAGCUCCGGCGGUUGUGGAUGGACUCGCGGCCUAUCAGCUUGUUGGUGGGGUAGUGGCCUACCAAGGCGGCGACGGGUAGCCGGCCUGAGAGGGUGACCGGCCACAUUGGGACUGAGAGACGGCCCAGACUCCUACGGGAGGCAGCAGUGGGGAAUAUUGCACAAUGGGCGCCAGCCUGAUGCAGCAACGCCGCGUGCAGGAUGACGGCCUUCGGGUUGUAAACCGCUUUCAGCAGGGACGAAGCUUUUUGUGACGGUACCUGCAGAAGAAGCACCGGCUAACUACGUG
rnacentral:rRNA from 1 species